GCGCCCAUAGCUCAAUUGGAUAGAGCAUCCGCCUUCUAAGCGGACGGUUGCAGGUUCGAGUCCUGCUGGGCGCGCCA
rnacentral:tRNA from 1 species